GACUACUGGGGUAUCUAAUCCUGUUUGCUCCCCACACUUUCGUGCUUUAGCGUCAGUUUUGAGCCAGGCAACUGCCUUCGCCAUUGGUGUUCUAUCUGAUAUCUACGCAUUUCACUGCUACACCAGAUAUUCCAUUGCCCUCUCUCAAACUCUAGACUUUCAGUAUCAAAGGCAGCUCCAAAGUUAAGCUUUGGGAUUUCACCUCUGACUUAAAAGUCCACCUGAGCACCCUUUACACCCAGUAAAUCCGGACAACGCUUGCCCCCUACGUAUUACCGCGGCUGCUGGCACGUAGUUAGCCGGGGCUUACUCUGAAGGUACAAUCAAUCCCGAUAAAUCGGAAUAUUUUUCCCUUCUUACAGGAGUUUACAUACAAAAGUAUUUCAUCCUCCACGCGGCGUUGCUGCUUCAGCCUUUCGGCCAUUGAGCAAUAUUCCUUACUGCAGCCCCCCGUAGG
rnacentral:rRNA from 1 species